rnacentral:rRNA from 1 species
GAUGAACGCUGGCGGCGUGCCUAAUACAUGCAAGUCGAGCGAACAGAUGAGGAGCUUGCUUCUCUGACGUUAGCGGCGGAAGGGUGAGUAACACGUGGAUAACCUACCUAUAAGACUGGGAUAACUUCGGGAAACCGGAGCUAAUACCGGAUAAUAUAUUGAACCGCAUGGUUCAAUAGUGAAAGACGGUUUUGCUGUCACUUAUAGAUGGAUCCGCGCCGCAUUAGCUAGUUGGUAAGGUAACGGCUUACCAAGGCGACGAUGCGUAGCCGACCUGAGAGGGUGAUCGGCCACACUGGAACUGAGACACGGUCCAGACUCCUACGGGAGGCAGCAGUAGGGAAUCUUCCGCAAUGGGCGAAAGCCUGACGGAGCAACGCCGCGUGAGUGAUGAAGGUCUUCGGAUCGUAAAACUCUGUUAUUAGGAAAGAACAAAUGUGUAAGUAACUAUGCACGUCUUGACGGUACCUAAUCAGAAAGCCACGGCUAACUACGUG